rnacentral:rRNA from 1 species
GCAAAACGCGAAGAACCUUACCUAGGCUUGACAUGCAUCUCUAAGCACGUGAAAGCGUGUGACCCUUCGGGGAAUUUGCACAGGUGCUGCAUGGCCGUCGUCAGCUCGUGUCGUGAGAUGUUGGGUUAAGUCCCGCAACGAGCGCAACCCUUGUGACUAGUUGCCAGCACGUUAUGGUGGGAACUCUAGUCAGACUGCCCAGAUCAACUGGGAGGAAGGUGGGGACGACGUCAGGUCAGUAUGGCCCUUACGCCUAGGGCUGCACACGUACUACAAUGCCCAGCACAAUGAGAACCGAGACCGCGAGGUGGAGGAAAUACUAAAAACUGGGCCCAGUUCGGAUUGGAGGCUGCAACUCGCCUCCAUGAAGUUGGAAUCGCUAGUAAUGGCGCAUCAUCUACGGCGCCGUGAAUACGUUCCCGGGUCUUGUACACACCG